rnacentral:tRNA from 1 species
GGCAGUGUAGUGUAAUCGGUAAGGGGUUGGUCUCGUAACCUAAAGGUCGCAGGUUCGAUUCCCGGCGGGGACA